GAUGAACGCUGGCGGCGUGCCUAAUACAUGCAAGUCGAGCGAACGGACGAGAAGCUUGCUCCUCUGAUGUUAGCGGCGGACGGGUGAGUAACACGUGGAUAACCUACCUAUAAGACUGGGAUAACUUCGGGAAACCGGAGCUAAUACCGGAUAAUAUUUUGAACCGCAUGGUUCAAAAGUGAAAGACGGUCUUGCUGUCACUUAUAGAUGGAUCCGCGCUGCAUUAGCUAGUUGGUAAGGUAACGGCUUACCAAGGCAACGAUGCAUAGCCGACCUGAGAGGGUGAUCGGCCACACUGGAACUGAGACACGGUCCAGACUCCUACGGGAGGCAGCAGUAGGGAAUCUUCCGCAAUGGGCGAAAGCCUGACGGAGCAACGCCGCGUGAGUGAUGAAGGUCUUCGGAUCGUAAAACUCUGUUAUUAGGGAAGAACAUAUGUGUAAGUAACUGUGCACAUCUUGACGGUACCUAAUCAGAAAGCCAUGGCUAACUACGUG
rnacentral:rRNA from 1 species